rnacentral:rRNA from 1 species
GAUGAACGCUAGCGGCAGGCUUAACACAUGCAAGUCGAGGGGUAGAAGUUGCUUGCAACUUUGAGACCGGCGCACGGGUGCGUAACGCGUAUGCAAUCUACCUUAUACAGAGGGAUAGCCCAGAGAAAUUUGGAUUAAUACCUCACAGUAUAAUUGAAUGGCAUCAUUUAAUUAUUAAAGUUCCAACGGUAUAAGAUGAGCAUGCGUCCUAUUAGCUAGAUGGUAAGGUAACGGCUUACCAUGGCAACGAUAGGUAGGGGUCCUGAGAGGGAGAUCCCCCACACUGGUACUGAUACACGGACCAGACUCCUACGGGAGGCAGCAGUGAGGAAUAUUGGACAAUGGGCGCAAGCCUGAUCCAGCCAUGCCGCGUGCAGGAAGAAGCAUCUAUGGUGUGUAAACUGCUUUUGUAAGGGAAGAAACACCCCUUCGUGAAGGGACUUGACGGUACCGUAAGAAUAAGGAUCGGCUAACUCCGUGCCAGCAGCCGCAGUAACAC